GGAUUCCCCUAGUAACUGCGAGUGAAGCGGGAAAAGCUCAAAUUUAAAAUCUGGCGGUCUUUGGCCGUCCGAGUUGUAGUCUGGAGAAGUGCUUUCCGCGCUGGACCGUGUAUAAGUCUCUUGGAACAGAGCGUCGUAGAGGGUGAGAAUCCCGUCUUUGACACGGACUACCAGUGCUUUGUGAUGCGCUCUCAAAGAGUCGAGUUGUUUGGGAAUGCAGCUCAAAAUGGGUGGUGAAUUCCAUCUAAAGCUAAAUAUUGGCGAGAGACCGAUAGCGAACAAGUACCGUGAGGGAAAGAUGAAAAGCACUUUGGAAAGAGAGUUAAACAGUACGUGAAAUUGCUGAAAGGGAAACGCUUGAAGUCAGUCGCGUUGUCCGGAACUCAGCCUUGCUUUUGCUUGGUGCACUUUCCGGAUGACGGGUCAGCAUCGAUUUUGACCGUCGGAAAAGGGCUGGAGUAAUGUGGCACCUCCGGGUGUGUUAUAGACUCUGGUCGCAUACGGCGGUUGGGAUCGAGGAACGCAGCGCGCCGCAAGGCAGGGGUUCGCCCACUUUCGCGCUUAGGAUGCUGACAUAAUGGCUUUAAACGACCCGUCUUGAAACACGGACCAAGGAGUCUAACAUACCUGCGAGUGUUUGGGUGGAAAACCCGAGCGCGUAAUGAAAGUGAAAGUUGAGAUCCCUGUCGUGGGGAGCAUCGACGCCCGGACCAGACGUUCUCUGACGGAUCCGCGGUAGAGCAUGUAUGUUGGGACCCGAAAGAUGGUGAACUAUGCCUGAAUAGGGUGAAGCCAGAGGAAACUCUGGUGGAGGCUCGUAGCGAUUCUGACGUGCAAAUCGAUCGUCAAAUUUGGGUAUAGGGGCGAA
rnacentral:rRNA from 1 species